rnacentral:rRNA from 1 species
AGCGAACGCUGGCGGCAUGCCUAACACAUGCAAGUCGAACGAUUGCCUUCGGGUGAUAGUGGCGCACGGGUGCGUAACGCGUGGGAAUCUGCCCUUAGGUUCGGAAUAACAGCUGGAAACGGCUGCUAAUACCGGAUGAUAUCGCGAGAUCAAAGAUUUAUCGCCUGAGGAUGAGCCCGCGUUGGAUUAGGUAGUUGGUGGGGUAAAGGCCUACCAAGCCGACGAUCCAUAGCUGGUCUGAGAGGAUGAUCAGCCACACUGGGACUGAGACACGGUCCAGACUCCUACGGGAGGCAGCAGUGGGGAAUAUUGGACAAUGGGCGCAAGCCUGAUCCAGCAAUGCCGCGUGAGUGAUGAAGGCCCUAGGGUUGUAAAGCUCUUUUACCCGGGAAGAUAAUGACUGUACCGGGAGAAUAAGCCCCGGCUAACUCCGUG